rnacentral:rRNA from 1 species
UACAGAGGUGGCAAGCGUUGUUCGGAAUUACUGGGCGUAAAGGGCGCGUAGGCGGCCUUCUAAGUCAGACGUGAAAUCCCCCGGCUUAACCUGGGAACUGCGUCUGAUACUGGGAGGCUUGAGUAUGGGAGAGGGAUGUAGAAUUCCAGGUGUAGCGGUGAAAUGCGUAGAUAUCUGGAGGAAUACCGGUGGCGAAGGCGGCAUCCUGGACCAUAACUGACGCUGAGGCGCGAAAGCUGGGGGAGCAAACGGG